UAUUUGUCGUCGUUCACUCCUUCCCCGCGUGCCCUAGCCCCCUCCUCGCACCCGAGCCGCAUCCCCUCCUCACCCGACGACAUCUUCUCCCGAACCCUAACCGGCGCCGAGCGAUUUCCUCUCCCUCUCCGCAGCCGACGCCUUUCUCCUCUCCUCUGCCCCGAACCAGCGACGCCGACUUCUUCCUCUGUGCCGAGCCCUAGCACUGUGCCUCUUUUUCUUCUUAGCCUCUUCUCCUUCGCACACCGUUGAGUGUCGCCCGACAUCUACUGGCGCCGCCCUUUCCCCUCUUCGGACCUGCACGCCGACGCUGAACCACCGGUCACAGGACCACCAAAGGCAAUCGCUCUUCCUCUGGCCGGCACUUGAGCCAUCGCCGGUGCCCUAGCACCCUGGUUACCGCCGUCCCUCAGUCCGAGCAGAGCCGACCCAUUCCUUCUGCCAUAGCCGAGCCUCACCCCUUGCAUGAGUUGAUGCCUCGGGUUCUACCGAGCCUUUGGUUUAGGGUCAGUGGUUAAAUCUAGUACCAGCCACAGUUUGGCAAAGGGUGCAUCCUCAACAAAUUAACGAUAAAGUAUACGGAUUUGGGAUGAUGCUGUCAGGAGAGAGUUCUAGUUGCUGGUCCCCUAAAG